rnacentral:rRNA from 1 species
GACGAACGCUGGCGGCGUGCUUAACACAUGCCAGUCGAGCGGUAAGGCCUUUCGGGGUACACGAGCGGCGAACGGGUGAGUAACACGUGGGUGAUCUGCCCUGCACUUCGGGAUAAGCCUGGGAAACUGGGUCUAAUACCGGAUAUGACCUCCUAUCGCAUGGUGGGUGGUGGCAAGAUUUAUCGGUGCAGGAUGGGCCCGCGGCCUAUCAGCUUGUUGGUGGGGUAAUGGCCUACCAAGGCGACGACGGGUAGCCGACCUGAGAGGGUGACCGGCCACACUGGGACUGAGACACGGCCCAGACUCCUACGGGAGGCAGCAGUGGGGAAUAUUGCACAAUGGGCGAAAGCCUGAUGCAGCGACGCCGCGUGAGGGAUGACGGCCUUCGGGUUGUAAACCUCUUUCAGCAGGGACGAAGCGCAAGUGACGGUACCUGCAGAAGAAGCACCGGCUAACUACGUG